rnacentral:rRNA from 1 species
GACGAACGCUGGCGGCGUGCCUAAUACAUGCAAGUAGAACGCUGAAGGAGGAGCUUGCUUCUCUGGAUGAGUUGCGAACGGGUGAGUAACGCGUAGGUAACCUGCCUGGUAGCGGGGGAUAACUAUUGGAAACGAUAGCUAAUACCGCAUAAGAGUAGAUGUUGCAUGACAUUUGCUUAAAAGGUGCAAUUGCAUCACUACCAGAUGGACCUGCGUUGUAUUAGCUAGUUGGUGGGGUAACGGCUCACCAAGGCGACGAUACAUAGCCGACCUGAGAGGGUGAUCGGCCACACUGGCACUGAGACACGGCCCAGACUCCUACGGGAGGCAGCAGUAGGGAAUCUUCGGCAAUGGACGGAAGUCUGACCGAGCAACGCCGCGUGAGUGAAGAAGGUUUUCGGAUCGUAAAGCUCUGUUGUAAGAGAAGAACGAGUGUGAGAGUGGAAAGUUCACACUGUGACGGUAUCUUACCAGAAAGGGACGGCUAACUACGUG